AAUGAACGCUGGCGGCAGGCCUAACACAUGCAAGUCGAACGGAUCCUUCGGGAUUAGUGGCGGACGGGUGAGUAACGCGUGGGAACAUACCCUUUGGUACGGAAUAGCCUCGGGAAACUGGGAGUAAUACCGUAUGUGGUCGAGAGACGAAAGAUUUAUCGCCAAAGGACUGGCCCGCGUUGGAUUAGGUAGUUGGUGGGGUAAUGGCCUACCAAGCCGACGAUCCAUAGCUGGUUCGAGAGGAUGAUCAGCCACACUGGGACUGAGACACGGCCCAGACUCCUACGGGAGGCAGCAGUGGGGAAUCUUAGACAAUGGGGGAAACCCUGAUUUAACCAUGCCGCGUGAUCGAUGAAGGCCUUAGGGUUGUAAAGAUCUUUCAGGUGGGAAGAUAAUGACUGUACCACCAGGAGAAGCCCCGGCUAACUCCGUGCCAGCCGCCGCCGUAA
rnacentral:rRNA from 1 species